rnacentral:rRNA from 1 species
UACGGGGGGGGCAAGCGUUGUUCGGAAUUACUGGGCGUAAAGCGCGCGUAGGCGGCUCUUCAAGUCGAGUGUGAAAGCUCCAGGCUUAACCUGGGAAUUGCGCUCGAUACUGUUGAGCUAGAGUGUGGAAGGGGCUACUGGAAUUCCGUGUGUAGCGGUGAAAUGCGUAGAUAUAACGGAGGAACACCAGCGGCGAAGGCGGGGUAGCUGGGCCAAACACGUGACGCUGAUGACGCGAAAGCUAGGGGAGCAAACGGG